rnacentral:rRNA from 1 species
UCCGGUUGAUCCUGCCGGACCCUACUGCUACCGGGGUGGGACUAAGACAUGCGAGUUGUGCGUCUCUAAGCUAUGGUAGAGACGCGGCGUACGGCUCAGUAACACGUGGCUAACCUACCCUUAGGACGGGGACAACCCCGGGAAACUGGGGCUAAUACCCGAUAGGUGAGGAGGCCUGGAAUGGUUCCUAGUCGAAAAGGCGUUGAAACCAUGCUUUUCGACGUCGCCUAAGGAUGGGGCCGCGCCCGAUCAGGUUGUUGGUGGGGUAACGGCUCACCAAGCCUAUAACCGGUACGGGCCGUGAGAGCGGGAGCCCGGAGAUGGGCACUGAGGCAAGGGCCCAGGCCCUACGGGGCGCAGCAGUCGCGAAAACUCCGCAAUGCGCGAAAGCGUGACGGGGCUACCCCGAGUGCCGUCCGCUGAGGAUGGCUUUUCCCCGGUGUAAUGAGCCGGGGGAAUAAGGAGAGGGCAAGUCUGGUGUCAGCCGCCGCGGUAAUACCAGCUCUCCGAGUGGUAGGGAUGAUUAUUGGGCUUAAAGCGUCCGUAGCCGGCUUGGCAAGUCUCCUGUUAAAUUCAGCGACCUAAUCGUUGAGCCGCGGGAGAUACUACUAGGCUAGGAGGCGGGAGAGGCCGACGGUAUUCUCGGGGUAGGGGUGAAAUCCUAUAAUCCCGGGAGGACCACCAGUGGCGAAGGCUGUCGGCUAGAACGCGCUCGACGGUGAGGGACGAAAGCUGGGGGAGCGAACCGGAUUAGAUACCCGGGUAGUCCCAGCUGUAAACGAUGCGGGCUAGGUGUUGGGGUGGCUACGAGCCACUUCAGUGCCGCAGGGAAGCCGUUAAGCCCGCCGCCUGGGGAGUACGGCCGCAAGGCUGAAACUUAAAGGAAUUGGCGGGGGAGCACCACAAGGCGUGAAGCUUGCGGUUCAAUUGGAGUCAACGCCGGG